AACGAACGCUGGCGGCAUGCCUAACACAUGCAAGUCGAACGAGACCUUCGGGUCUAGUGGCGCACGGGUGCGUAACGCGUGGUAACCUGCCCUUAGGUUCGGAAUAACUCCCCGAAAGGGGUGCUAAUACCGGAUAAUGUCUUCGGACCAAAGAUUUAUCGCCUUUGGAUGGGCCCGCGUUGGAUUAGCCAGUUGGUAGGGUAAAAGCCUACCAAGGCGACGAUCCAUAGCUGGUCUGAGAGGAUGAUCAGCCACACUGGGACUGAGACACGGCCCAGACUCCGACGGGAGGCAGCAGUGGGGAAUAUUGGACAAUGGGCGAAAGCCUGAUCCAGCAAUGCCGCGUGAGUGAUGAAGGCCUUAGGGUUGUAAAGCUCUUUUAGCCGGGAUGAUAAUGACAGUACCGGGAGAAUAAGCUCCGGCUAACUCCGUG
rnacentral:rRNA from 1 species